CACCGGGGCAUGCUUAGUACGGCGAGUGAAGCGGCAAAAGCUCAAAUUUGAAAUCUGGCACCUUCGGUGUCCGAGUUGUAAUUUGAAGAAGCUACUUUGGGGCUAGUCCUUGUCUAUGUUCCUUGGAACAGGACGUCAUGGAGGGUGAGAAUCCCGUAUGGCGAGGAGUCUAGUCCUAUGUAAAGUGCUUUCGACGAGUCGAGUUGUUUGGGAAUGCAGCUCUAAGUGGGUGGUAAAUUCCAUCUAAAGCUAAAUAUUGGCGAGAGACCGAUAGCGAACAAGUACAGUGAUGGAAAGAUGAAAAGAACUUUGAAAAGAGAGUGAAAAAGUACGUGAAAUUGUUGAAAGGGAAGGGCAUUUGAUCAGACAUGGUGUUUUGCGACCCUCGCUCCUUGUGGGUGGGGAUCUCGCAGCUCACUGGGCCAACAUCAGUUUUGGCGGUAGGAUAAAUCUUUGGGAACGUGGCUUGUCUUCGGAGAAGCGUUAUAGCCCAGGGGAAUACUGCCAGCCGGGACUGAGGACUGCGACUUUUGUCAAGGAUGUUGGCAUAAUGGUUAAAUGCCGCCCGUCUGAAAACGCGGAAAAAAAAGAAAAAAAAAAAAAAAAAGAAAAAAAAAAAAAAAAAAAA
rnacentral:rRNA from 1 species